AAUAAUGUACAUUUGCAACAGUUACCAAGUCAAAUAUCAAAAGAACUAACAAGACACACUACAUUUGCAACAAUUACCAAAUCAAAAAUCAAAAGGUUUGUUAAGGUUUCAAAGCUAAGGGGGACUUGCAUAUGCAAUUUCACAAAUUUCAGAGACAGAUAUUGCACCUUAUUGUGUAAGGAAAUGUGGUACAAUUUAUCAAAUUUAUUGUUUCCACAAUCAAUAAGAAAAUAAAAUCAUAAAUCAGCAUCCACCAAUUUCACCUUCUUUCAAGUUUCCAAAAACAUUUACAA
rnacentral:misc_RNA from 1 species